UGCCAGCAGCCGCGGUAAUACGGAGGUGGCAAGCGUUACUCGGAAUUAUUGGGUGUAAAGGGCAAGUAGGCGGUCUAUUAGGUGAGAGGUGAAAUCUCCCGGCUCAAUCGGGAAACUGCCUUUCAAACCAAUAGACUUGAGGGAGACAGAGGAAAGCGGAAUUCUCGGUGUAAGGGUGAAAUCUGUAGAUAUCGAGAAGAACAUCAGCGGCGAAGGCGGCUUUCUGGAUCUAUCCUGACGCUAAACUGCGAAAGCUAGGGGAGCAAACAGAAUUAGAUA
rnacentral:rRNA from 1 species